AACGAACGCUGGCGGCAGGCCUAACACAUGCAAGUCGAGCGGACCUUUCGGGGUCAGCGGCGGACGGGUGAGUAACGCGUGGGAAUAUGCCCUUCUCUACGGAAUAGUCCUGGGAAACUGGGGGUAAUACCGUAUACGCCCUUUGGGGGAAAGAUUUAUCGGGGAAGGAUUAGCCCGCGUUGGAUUAGGUAGUUGGUGGGGUAAUGGCCUACCAAGCCGACGAUCCAUAGCUGGUUUGAGAGGAUGAUCAGCCGCACUGGGACUGAGACACGGCCCAGACUCCUACGGGAGGCAGCAGUGGGGAAUCUUAGACAAUGGGGGCAACCCUGAUCUAGCCAUGCCGCGUGAGUGAUGAAGGCCUUAGGGUUGUAAAGCUCUUUCAGCUGGGAAGAUAAUGACGGUACCAGCAGAAGAAGCCCCGGCUAACUCCGU
rnacentral:rRNA from 1 species